rnacentral:sRNA from 1 species
CGGUCCAGAGGGGGAUGUCGCUAUUCAACCUUACGUGCGGUACGUCCGGCUCCAUACGCAUUGUUAUUAUUGUAAAAUUAUAUAUAAGGCGAUCCUUGGGUGUUCCUCGCUUCACAAUAAGAUUGCCCAACUGCAUGGCUUUCAGGAAGUAGAAGCCGUAGGAACCAAGGCCAUGUUACUCCGUAUAUUGGUGGGACUUUCAUUGAAAAAUAAUAUUAACUAGUAUCCUCGAGCUACUACUUCUUCAAUGCUUAAAUCUUUUAUUAUUAUUUUUUUUUUCUUCGCAAACCGUACGUGCUCGAUCCAGGAUCCGUGCUUGAUUCAAGAGUCUUUGCUUGCUUUCAUCAUGG